CCGCUCGCCGCCCCCGCAUCGCUGUCGCGCUGAGAAGAUAAGGCAGAGUCCCCUCGGCUUCGUCAUCUCCCCUUCCCCCACCAGAUAUUUUCCCCACUCCUAUGCCCCUCCCUCUCUUCCCCCAGAUCCACCGCAACUGUGGCCGUGAACGCCGGCGCCCACGCGCCUCACCAUGCUCUACGAGCAUGUCCGCUAGGUGCGGCGCCGUCCUCUGCUUCGACUCCGACCGCUGGAACCAUUCAGGAGCGACCGCGUCCUCGGGAACGACCUCGACCACGCCUUCCUCGCCGGAGCUGCGCCGAGCCGCUCUGUCACCCUCCUGCGCUACUAAACUCUCACAGGCCUUCUUGAGCCGCCCGGUGAGCGCACCAUCCAGCCCCUCUCCCCUCUUGCCUCCUCGUAAGACGUAGCCCACCUCGUCGUCGCUCCUGCCCUGGCCGCAGUCGCCGCGGCCGCACCCAUCGACGCGCUCGCCCACAACCCCCCUGCUACGCCCGGGCCGCGUCGUGGCAGCUCCGGCCGCGCGCCCGGCCCAUCUACCGCGCCUGCUCUGCUCUGCAGAUGCUUGCUGCCUCUGCUUGCUGUUGUGCUGAUGCAGCUGCUGCUUUGUUGUUGCCGUCGUCAGGCCCUGCAGCCGCUCGCGACACCGCGUUCGCGUCUCGUUCCACCUCGCCUCCGGCCGCUGCCCUUGCGUGCCCCGCGCCGGCCGCGCGCCCGCACGCGCGCUACUGCGCUUGGCCACGCCCGCGCCACGGCUCUGCCCAGCCACCACUCCUCUACGAAGCCACCACUCCUCUACGAGUACUACUACUAGCUACUGUAGAUGUAGUUAGCUUUGCUAAAUCUACAAUGAGUAACCCCCUGGGCAGCACCUAAACAGAGAUUAAACAACUGUUAACAACGCUAAAAAUAAUAUGAGUAGAAAGUAUACUUGACAAACUCCAUUUUAUCCCACUGGACCAGACCCUUUCGAUGCAUGGAUUAAAUCCUAUGAAAAUCACAAAAUGCUAUCUUUUGUUAGCAGAAAACAGAGCUAUGUGUGGGUGAGUGUGUGUUCUGCAUAGUGUGUGUGCGUACAGUUGGCCAUGACCUGUGCUCCUGUGUGUGUAUGUGUGCAUCAUGCGUGUGGGCGGUUGGGCUAUUCCCAUUAGUGGCCGGCCGUAGCUUAGAUUAGUACUACUAGGUUUAAUUAGUGUUAAGUUAGUCUAGUAGUAGAUGACAUGUAGGCCCUUUUAAAUAAGUUAGAUUUGUUUAAUUGUUUAGGUAAAUAGUCUAUGACAUGUGGGCCACACCUGCCCUUUGACUAUUCAAAAUUAAUUUAGUCAAUUCGGUUUAAGUUAAAUAUAAUAAUCCCAAGAAAUCAAUUAAACUUUGAAAAAUCGUUAUAAAAUAAACCUCAGUUCGGAUGGAAAAACUUUGUACAUGAAAGUUGCUCAGAACGACGAGACAAACCCGGAUACGCAGCUCGUUCGUCCGCCACGCAUCCCUAGCAUAGCGAACACAUAACUUUUCUCCUUCGAUUCAUCUGUCCGAAAACGCGAAACACCGGGAUACUUUCCCGGAUGUUUUCCCCCUUCGCCGGUAUCACCUCCUACCGCGUUAGGUCACACCCGGCACAUCUUAUUGCCAUGUUAUGCUUUGUGGUGCUAUGUUUGCUUUAUAUUUAUUGUUUCUUCCACCUCUUCUCUUCGAUAGACUACGAGACCGACGCUGCUGCCGCCCCGUUCGACUACGGAGUUGACGACCCCUCCUUCUUGCCAGAGCAACCAGGCAAGCCCCCCCUUGAUCACCAGAUAUCGCCUACUCUUCUCUAUACUACUUGCAUUAGAGUAGUGUAGCAUGUUACUGCUUUCCGUUAAUCCUAUUCUGAUGCAUAGCCUGUCAUUGUUGUUACAACUGUUGAUACCUUAACUACAAUCCUAAAUGCUUAGUAUAGGAUGCUAGUGUUCCAUCAGUGGCCUUACACUCUUGUCCGUCUGCCAUGCUAUACUACUAGGCCGUGAUCACUUCGGAAGGUGAUCACGGGCAUACACUAUAUACUUUACACCGUUACAUUACCGGUGAUACUGUUUGGAGAUGGGGGCUGAAGGGGCAGGUGGCUCCAUAUCGGUAGAGGUGGGCCUGGGUUCCCGACGGCCCCCGACUGUUACUUUGUGGCGGAGCGACAGGGCAGGUUGAGACCACCUAGGAGAGAGGUGGGCCUGGCCCUGGUCGGUGUUCGCGGAUACUUAACACGUUUAACGAGAUCUUGGUAUUUGAUCUGAGUCUGGCUAUUGGCCUAUACACACUAACCAUCUACGCGGGGACAGUUAUGGGCACUCGACGUCAUGGUAUCAGCCGAAGCCUUUGUGACGUCAGCGACUGAGUGGCGCGCGCUGGAUUGGACCGUAAGCCUGCUGUUGUAUUAAGGGGGCUAGUUCUGCUUCCGGCCGCGUUCGCAACGUGCAGGUGUGCAAAGGGCGAUGGGCCCAGACCCCUGCGCCAUAGGAUUUAGACCGGCGUGCUGACCUCUCUGUUGUGCCUAGGUAGGGUUGCGACGUGUUGAUCUUACGAGGCCGGGCAUGACCCAGGAAAGUGUGUCCGGCCAAAUGGGAUCGAGCGUGUUGGGUUAUGUGGUGCACCCCUGCAGGGAAGUUAAUCUAUUCGAAUAGCCGUGAUCUUCGGUAACAGGACGACUUGGAGUUGUACCUUGACCUUAUGACAACUAGAACCGGAUACUUAAUAAAACACACCCUUCCAAGUGCCAGAUACAACCGGUGAUCGCUCUCUCACAGGGCGACGAGGGGAGGAUCAUCGGUUAGGAUUAUGCUAUACGAUGCUACUUGAUGCUACUUGGUGAACUUACCAUCUACUCUCUCCUACAUGCUGCAAGAUGGAGGUGGCCAGAAGCGUAGUCUUCGACAGGAUUAGUUAUCCCCCUCUUAUUCUGGCAUUCUGCAGUUCAGUCCACAUAUGAUACCCUUAUUCCAUUUGAUACCCAUGCAUAUGUAGUGUAGCUCCUUGCUUGCGAGUACUUUGGAUGAGUACUCACGGUUGCUUUGCUACUUCUUUUUCCCCCAUACCUGAUUGUUGCGACCAGAUGACGGAUCCCAGGAGCCAGACGACGCCACCGAUGACUACUACUACCCGGAGGAUGCCUACUACUGCUUGAAGACCAAUGACGAUUUGGAGUAGUUAGGAGGCUCCCAGGAAGGAGGCCUUGCCUUUUCGAUCGUUGUUGCUUUUGUGCUAGCCUUCUUAAGACAAACUUGUUUAACUUAUGUCUGUACUCAGAUAUUGUUGCUUCCGCUGACUCAUCUUUGAUCAAGCUCUUGUAUUCGAGCCUUCGAGGCCCCUGGCUUGUAAUAUAAAGCUUGUAUUAUUUUAAUUUGUGUCUAGAGUUGUGUUGUGAUAUCUUCCCGUGAGUCCUUGAUCUUGAUCGUACACAUUUGCGUGUAUGAUUAGUGUACGGUCAAAUCGGGGGCGUCACAAGUUGGUAUCAGAGCCGACUGCCUGUAGGAAUCCCCCUUCCAAACUCCUUGGCCGAAGUCGAUUCUAGACAUUACAAAACUUUUUACUAACAUGGUUGUGCGCCUUACGGGCCCACGUCGCCAUCUGGAUGGUAUUAGUAUCUUUUAUUCCUCGUCUAUACUCUGGGACUUCGAUCUCUCUUCUAUUCGGGUUAAAUAAAUUUUUACUAAUUCUAACAUUAGGAUCUCAUGAUCACUUUCACCCGGAGAGCAACUUAUUACCGAUGUUCGUCUGCUACACCAGAAGAUUCAGAAGAUACUCUCCGAUGUUAUCCCGAGAACUUGUGCUCAUUGCGUUUGCAAUUCCCUUCCACCGUCAACCCCUAUAGAUAACUACAUGCACUUGCCAUUCUUACCUUAGUCCCCAGAUGCUCUUGUUAUUAUCCCGAAAUACUCGUUGUUCCGAGAAUCCUUGUGCCUACUGCCUUGCAGUUCCUUGUUACAUGAAUACCCCUACGGAUAUUUCCUCGCACUUGCCGAGUAUCCGCUCAUCCCAGUUGUUCAGGUGUUUCACAAAGGUCUUCGAAAUACCAUUCGAUCUCCUGAAAAUCAUCAACAACCUACUGCUCUCGAAAUUCUUACUCGCUUGCAUUAUGAUUGAUCCCAUGAGUAUGGUAAUCUUGUUGUCAUCCUUAGUCAUUAUCAGUUUGAGUCUGUUGAAUCAAUAUGUUGUGAAUGCUCGCAAUCUUUAAUCAGAUCCUUCAUUUCGUCCUUCCGGCUCAGACGUCAUUUUAAACAUGAGUUGGAUCUCAACCAAUCUAAUUGCCUUUGAUUGUACCCCUAAGGCAAUUCAACUUAUCCAUACCUAAUCAGAGCAUUGCUUCUGAUCCCUUGUCUUGGAAUUCAUAAUUCCUUUGCAUUUGAACUUUGAAUUAGUCAGUUGUUUCUAUAAUCAGAUCUCCUUGCAUUUUCUUCCUCUGAUUGAGUACCGAUGCUCACAUCAGAUCGCUUGUGGACCAUCGGUUCCUUUGUUGGAUUUUAUCCGACAGUGUCCUUCAUAUUGAAUAACCUUGUGAGCCUUCCAUGGGUAUAUAAUGCCUUUGGUAAAUUGUAUCGUCUGCUUUUGAACAAUGCUCUACUUUCGAGCUAGUGAUGUUUACUAUUGAAGCUUGCGGAAUAUGUUUCCACGAUACCCCGAUGGGUUGAACCUAUGCCUUCCUUAUUAUGUGUGAACUCGAAAGUCUUCACGAGUCAUACUCUUCUGGUAUUUUGCUAGAUAAAAUUUCUACACUACAGCUUCAUCAAAAGUGAGAAGUAAAAUGAAAGGUUAUGCAUGGAAGAAGUGGGAGUCGACCUUGAACCUUUGUGUUCAUGCCCAUGGACCCGAUGUGGAACUUAUCAUGGAAGCUUCUUGUUAUGAUAAUAACGACCCCCUUGUGAUAAGUUCAUUUUGUAUCUAUAUUGGUCCUUUGCAACCGUGGUUCCGACCAUGAUUGUUCUCCUUUGAUUCCAUUUCUCGGACAAGUUAAAGUACUUGUCUUCUUCAGAUCGUUUAACCUGUCCAACCUCUACUUUGAUCUACCUUCGAGUAUUACCCCUUUGGUAUCUUGAGAAUAUCACGGAACUACAUAACUUCUUAUGAGUUCUUCAUCAACUGUUAUUUCUCGCCGAUUCAAAAUUUUCCACGGGUUCUGAGUUGGUAGACACUCGAGGACACCAAUAACUGAUUUGAGUCUACACUUUCCUUUCCAUUGUUAUGUUAACCUUUCUUGUAACGUAACAUAUUUGAGCUGUGAUAAUUCGCUGCUUAUGUAAAUGCCUCGAUAUACAACUCUGUCAGUAAGACCUUGUUACUAUUGUUGAUGACAUCUCGGUAGCCGCCGAUGGAUGAGAAUUUUGCCUACUGGUCCGCCUCGCCUUGCGAGCAGGAAAAUGGUUCUCUUCGUCCCUCGCCCUUGGUACCGACGUUGUUGCCAACAUAACUAACAUGCUAUCCUCUGACCUGCCUUGCUAUCAUAACUGUGCAAAUGUUAGCACCCUUCCUACUUCUAACCCACAUGGUGGGCCCAUAACCCACAGUCCCACAGGAUCGAAACCUGACUCUCCUUGUUUUCAAAGUUGUCCCUCGUGCUUGGCUUCGUAUGUAAUUCACGAGUCACCAUCCUUGUGAUAUGUUCUGGUAUCAAACGCAAUACUUAUUCCCAUUGCUCUUGAACCCCUUUCGCUCUGUGUUUCAGGCAACGAACGAUUGCCUGCCGCUUGAAACUUUUUAUUGCACCUUCUUGCUUUGCUCUAGAUGUCUUUCUAAAAUUUCAACUCGAGAGAUGGCCCCCAGUUACCUAUCCUGUGUUAAGGUCCGUCCUUUCCUUGUCUUUCCCCCUACUACACCCCUUAAAUCUCGGGACGAGAUUUCUUGUAGUGGAGGAGAAUUGUGACGCCCGGAUAAUCAAGCUACAGUAACCCUCUUCUAAUAAUGCCAUGUCAUCGCUGUUACUGUUGCUAAUCUCACUUUGAUUCAAACCGGUUCAAAUUCAAACUUAAAGUAAAGUCAAAAAUAAAAGUUUUCAUAUGUUAAAACUAAAAUGUUCUAAUUGUUCUAUAAUCCCCCUGAUCAUUUUCAUGUUGUAAUCGUCAUCAUUUGCCUCACCAUUUGAUCCAAAAAAAAUUAAGUGAGCCAAAAACAACAAAAAUAAUCUUUUGGAAAUAAACAAAUGGUUAUAUAUUUCCAAAUGCCCCCAAACUUUUUGUGUCAGCCCAAAAUAUAAAUUGGUAUUUAUGAGACAAAAAUUACCAUUUACAAAAAUCAUUUGGUGGGUUUACUUAAGACAAAAUAAGAGAAACAGUAAAAAGAAAAUAAGUAAAAGGAAAAUGUAACAAAAAAAUAGAAGAGACAGAAAGGCCUCCCCUGACCCCGGGCCUUGGCCCAUCUCAAUGAGCCAGCCCGACCGAACUUCCCCCUUGGUCGCCUUCCACCUCGCUACAGGGGAAGCCGACCGAGGCGUGCCCGCUGUCCUCGCUGAACCCGCUCGCCGCCCCCGCGCCGCUGUUGCGCUGAGAAGAUAAGGCAGAGUCCCCUCGGCUUCGUCAGCUCCCCUUCCCCCACCAGAUAUUUUCCCCACUCCUAUGCCCCUCCCUCUCUUCCCCCAGAUCCAGCGCAACUGUGGCCGUGAACGCCGACGCCCACGCGCCUCACCGUGCUCUACGAGCAUGUCCGCUAGGUGCGGCGCCGUCCUCUGCUUCGACUAUGGCCGCUGGAACCAGUUGGGAGCGACCGCGUCCUCGGGAACGACCUCGACCACGCCUUCCUCGCCGGAGCUGCGCCGAGCCGCUCCGUCACCCUCCUGCGCUACUAAACUCUCACAGGCCUUCUUGAGCCGCCCGGUGAGCGCACCAUCCAGCCCCUCUCCCCUCUUGCCUCCUCGUAAGACGUAGCCCACCUCGUCGUCGCUCCUGGCCCUGGCCGUAGUCGCCGCGGCCGCACCCAUCGACGCACUCGCCCACGCCCCCCCUGCUACGCCCGGGCCGCGUCGUGGCAGCUUCGGCCGCGUGCCCGGCCCAUCUACCGCGCCCGCUCUGCUCUGCAGAUGCUUGCUGCCUCUGCCUGCUAUAUUGCUGAUGCAGCUGCUGCUUUGUUGUUGCCGUCGUCAGGCCCUGCAGCCGCUCGCGACACCGCGUUCGCGUCUCGUUCCACCUCGCCUCCGGCCGCUGCCCUUGCGUGCCCCGCGCCGGCCGCGCGCCCGCACGCGCGCUACUGCGCUUGGCCACGCCCGCGCCACGGCUCUGCCCAGCCACCACUCCUCUACGAAGCCACCACUCCUCUACGAGUACUACUACUAGCUACUGUAGAUGUAGUUAGCUUUGCUAAAUCUACAAUGAGUAACCCCCUGGGCAGCACCUAAACAGAGAUUAAACAACUGUUAACAACGCUAAAAAUAAUAUGAGUAGAAAGUAUACUUGACAAACUCCAUUUUAUCCCACUGGACCAGACCCUUUCGAUGCAUGGAUUAAAUCCUAUGAAAAUCACAAAAUGCUAUCUUUUGUUAGCAGAAAACAGAGCUAUGUGUGGGUGAGUGUGUGUUUUGCAUAGUGUGUGUGCGUACAGUUGGCCAUGGCCGUGUGCUCCUGUGUGUGUAUGUGUGCAUCAUGCGUGUGGGCGGUUGGGCUAUGCCCAUUAGUGGCCGGCCCUAGCUUAGAUUAGUACUACUAGGUUUAAUUAGUGUUAAGUUAGUCUAGUAGUAGAUGACAUGUAGGCCCUUUUAAAUAAGUUAGAUUUGUUUAAUUGUUUAGGUAAAUAGUCUAUGACAUGUGGGCCACACCUGCCCUUUGACUAUUCAAAAUUAACUUAGUCAAUUCGGUUUAAGUUAAAUAUAAUAAUCCUAAGAAUUCAAUUAAACUUUGAAAAAUCGUUAUAAAAUAAACCUCAGUUCGGAUGGAAAAACUUUGUACAUGAAAGUUGCUCAGAACGACGAGACAAACCCGGAUACGUAGCCCGUUCAUCCGCCACGCAUCCCUAGCAUAGCGAACACACAACAUUUCUCCUUCGAUUCAUCUGUCCGAAAACGCGAAACACCGGGGAUACUUUCCCGGAUGUUUUCCCCCUUCGCCGGUAUCACCUCCUACCGCGUUAGGUCACACCCGGCACAUCUUAUUGCCAUGUUAUGCUUUGUGGUGCUAUGUUUGCUUUAUAUUUAUUGUUUCUUUCCCCUCUUCUCUUUGAUAGACUACGAGACCGAUGCUGCUGCCGCCCCGUUCGACUACGGAGUUGACGAUCCCUCCUUGCCAGAGCAACCAGGCAAGCCCCCCCCCCUUGAUCACCAGAUAUCGCCUACUCUUCUCUAUACUACUUGCAUUAGAGUAGUGUAGCAUGUUACUGCUUUCCGUUAAUCCUAUUCUGAUGCAUAGCCUGUCAUUGUUGUUACAACUGUUGAUACCUUAACUACAAUCCUAAAUGCUUAGUAUAGGAUGCUAGUGUUCCAUCAGUGGCCCUACACUCUUGUCCGUCUGCCAUGCUAUACUACUAGGCCGUGAUCACUUCGGGAGGUGAUCACGGGCAUAUACUAUAUAAUUUACAUUGUUACAUUACCGAUGAUACUGUUUGGAGAUGGGGGCUGAAGGGGCAGGUGGCUCCAUCCCGAUAGAGGUGGGCCUGGGUUCCCGACAGCCCCCGACUGUUACUUUGUGGCAGAGCGACAGGGCAGGUUGAGACCACCUAGGAGAGAGGUGGGCCUGGCCCUGGUCGGUGUUCGCGGAUACUUAACACAUUUAACGAGAUCUUGGUAUUUGAUCUGAGUCUGGCUAUUGGCCUAUACGCACUAACCAUCUACGCGGGGACAGUCAUGGGCACUCGACGUCGUGGUAUCAGCCGAAGCCUUCGUGACGUCAGCGACUGAGUGGCGCGCACCAGAUUGGACCGUAAGCCUGCUCUUGUAUUAAGGGGGCUAGUUCUGCUUCCGUCCGCGUUCGCAACGUGCAGGUGUGCAAAGGGCGAUGGGCCCAGACCCCUGCGCCAUAGGAUUUAGACCGGCGUGCUGACCUCUCUGUUGUGCCUAGGUAGGGCUGCGACGUGUUGAUCUUACGAGGCCGGGCAUGACCCAGGAAAGUGUGUCCGGCCAAAUGGGAUCGAGCGUGUUGGGUUAUGUGGUGCACCCCUGCAGGGAAGUUAAUCUAUUCGAAUAGCCGUGAUCUUCGGUAACAGGACGACUUGGAGUUGUACCUUGACCUUAUGACAACUAGAAUCGGAUACUUAAUAAAACACACCCUUCCAAGUGCCAGAUACAACUGGUGAUCGCUCUCUCAUAGGGCGACGAGGGGAGGAUCAUCGGUUAGGAUUAUGCUAUACGAUGCUACUUGGUGAACUUACCAUCUACUCUCUCCUACAUGCUGCAAGAUGGAGGUGGCCAGAAGCGUAGUCUUCGACAGGAUUAGUUAUCCCCCUCUUAUUCUGGCAUUCUGAAGUUCAGUCCACAUAUGAUACCCUUAUUCCAUUUGAUACCCAUGCAUAUGUAGUGUAGCUCCUUGCUUGCGAGUACUUUGGAUGAGUACUCACGGUUGCUUUGCUACUUCUUUUUCCCCCAUACCUGAUUGUUGCGACCAGAUGACGGAUCCCAGGAGCCAGACGACGCCACCGAUGACUACUACUACCCGGAGGAUGCCUACUACUGCUUGAAGACCAAUGACGAUUUGGAGUAGUUAGGAGGCUCCCAGGCAGGAGGCCUUGCCUUUUCGAUCGUUGUUGCUUUUGUGCUAGCCUUCUUAAGACAAACUUGUUUAACUUAUGUCUGUACUCAGAUAUUGUUGCUUCCGCUGACUCAUCUUUGAUCGAGCUCUUGUAUUCGAGCCUUCGAGGCCCCUGGCUUGUAAUAUAAAGCUUGUAUUAUUUUAAUUUGUGUCUAGAGUUGUGUUGUGAUAUCUUUUCGCGAGUCCUUGAUCUUGAUCGUACACAUUUGCGUGUAUGAUUAGUGUACGG
rnacentral:lncRNA from 1 species